rnacentral:rRNA from 1 species
UACGGAGGGUGCAAGCGUUAUCCGGAUUUACUGGGUUUAAAGGGUGCGUAGGCGGGCUUUUAAGUCAGUGGUGAAAGCUUCGAGCUUAACUCGAAAACUGCCAUUGAUACUAUUAGUCUUGAAUUCAGUUGAGGUCGGCGGAAUGUGUCGUGUAGAGGUGAAAUUCUUAGAUAUGACACAGAACACCAAUUGCGAAGGCAGCUGGCUAAACUGAAAUUGACGCUGAGGCACGAAAGCGUGGGGAU